AUUUUCUUACCAAAUAUUAACCUAACGGCCAAUGAAUUUCUUUGUUUCACUGUGACGAGUGUAGCUUUUGGGGGUUAAGUCCGAUAACGAAGACUCACCCUCUUGUAGAAUGCAAAUUUCACGCAAUUCAUAAGAGCCUGGUACUUUUGGGCAGCAACAACAGUCAAAGCACUAAACACCGUAUCAAGUAACCAAAAAAACAAUCUCGAGAGAGAGAUACAAAUGGAUUUGCAGGAGUUGUGGGCAAUCCUCGGUCCUGCAGUCGCUGGUGCGGUAUUUGGGACUGGAUGGUGGUUUUGGAUCGACGCCGUCGUUUGUAGCUCCGUUGCAGUCUCUUUCGUUCAUUACCUUCCCGGCAUAUUUGCAUCUAUUGCAGCUCUGAUGUUUAAUUGUGUUAGAAAAGAGGAUAUUGAUUACUCUCCUUACGAGGAAGGCGAGUGGAGAUUGAAGCUUUGGCUUUUCUUUGCAUAUGUCGUCUCCUUCGUCUCUUUAGCAGCAUCAGUGGGUUUGUUGAUUCAAGAUUCAAUUGUCAAAACAGGGCCUUCAGUUUGGACAGGAACUGCUGGCGUUUUGCAGUGUGUGUUUGUGCUGAUAAGUGGGCUAAUUUAUUGGACCUCACAUUCUGAAUGAAUUGUGGUGAUAAGUACAUCUACAUGUUUUGAGCUUGGAAGCAUGGCGGAUGGAGUUGGCAGUGCAUGUACCCUUUCUUGUACAACCCCCGGGACAGAACAUACUUCUACAUUGUGUAAAUGUUUAUCCUGUGCUAACAGUAUCGAGCGUAAAAGCUGACCUGCUGAANUUUUCUGGAAUUUGAGAAUUUGAGAUGUUUGGUACAUAAUAAACUGAAAUCUCAUAAACUCUGGUGUUUCUUCAUUGGCCAUGUGCAGAAGCCAAAUUCUAUUGUUUUCAGGUUGUUCACGCAAUUAUUCUCAGUUUCGUCACAAAAUGCUCACAAUACCAUCACCUCUUUCAAUUU